UCCGCCUAGUCGAUGGAAAGCCCCCGCCGCGGCCCAAGUUUGGACCUAAGUGGCGGUUCACGCAGCAUCACCACCGCCCGCAGCUCCCUCAGCGUCGCGACGAGGAGGUCGAGGCCCGUAAGCGUGAGGCCGAGAAGGAACGCGCACGCCGAGACCGGCUUUACAACCUUAAUCGCUCGAAUGUCAACCAGCCGCGGAGGGAGGCUGCCGCCUUUAAGUCCUCUGUCGAUAUUCAGCCUGAAUGGAACAUGCUCGACCAGAUCCCUUUCUCCACUUUCUCCAAGCUUUCAUUCGCUGUCCCCGAACCCGAGGACCUUCUCUUGUGCGGCGCUCUCGAGUACUAUGACCGAGCUUAUGAUCGCAUUACACCUAAAAAUGAGAGGAGAUUGGAGAGGUUCAAGAACAGGAAUUUCUUUAAAGUCACUACCAGUGAUGAUCCGGUGAUUAGGAGGUUGGCUAAGGAGGACAAAGCCACAGUUUUCGCCACCGAUACUAUCCUGGCAGCCUUGAUGUGCGCACCAAGAUCAGUUUACUCGUGGGAUAUCGUGAUUCAGCGAGUUGGAAACAAGUUGUUCUUCGAUAAGAGAGAUGGCUCGCAGCUCGAUUUAUUGUCCGUGCACGAGACGUCGCAGGAACCUUUACCUGAGGCUAAAGAUGAUAUUAACUCUGCAUAUUCCUUGAGCGUGGAGGCUGCUUAUGUUAAUCAGAAUUUCUCGCAGCAGGUUUUGGUCAGAGAUGGGAACAAGGUGUCAUUUGAUGAGCCAAAUCCGUUUGCCAAUGAAGGUGAGGAGGUGGCUUCUGUUGCCUACAGGUAUAGGAGAUGGAAGCUUGAUGAUGAUAUGCAUCUUAUUGCAAGAUGUGAGGUGCAGAGUGUUGUUGAUGUUAAUAAGCAAAGGUCAUUCCUUACCUUGAAUGCCCUUAAUGAAUUUGAUCCAAAAUAUUCUGGUGUUGAUUGGAGGCAGAAAUUGGAGACGCAGAGAGGUGCAGUAUUGGCUACUGAAUUGAAGAACAAUGCUAAUAAGUUGGCUAAAUGGACUGCGCAGGCAUUGUUGGCUAGUGCGGACUUGAUGAAAAUAGGGUAUGUUUCUAGGGUUCAUCCACGUGAUCAUUUCAACCAUGUGAUAUUGGCGGUUGUUGGGUACAAGCCAAGGGAAUUUUCUACUCAGAUUAAUCUGAAUACUGCGAAUAUGUGGGGUAUUGUUAAGUCUAUUGUGGACUUGUGUAUGAAACUGAACGAGGGUAAGUAUGUCCUUGUCAAGGAUCCCUCGAAGCCUCAAGUUAGGAUUUAUGAGGUUCCAGCAGAUGCUUUUGAGAAUGAGUACGUGGAGGAGCCAUUGCCUGAGGAAGAACAGGUUCAGCCACCUGGUGAAGAUGCCGAAGGCGGGGAGCCAAGUGCAGCUACUAAUGAUGUAGAAGAUAACAGCGCUAAUGCACAGGCGUAAUGGUAAUGAUUCGUGACUAUAAUUAACUUGAUACCAAAACCGUUACUUCUAUAUUAAUCAUGCAUGAUAUGUCUGUUGGUUUGUGUUCCUUAGUUACCAAAGGUCUUGGAUGAAUGUUUUCUGGUGUUUACUUGAGUUAGACAUGGUUCAAAGUUAGUCACCAGGAGAAUUUUGUUUAUGCUUGUAGUGAAAUAUUAAUUAUUUUCUCGUGUUUUUCUGAAGUUGGAUAAUUUAGCAUUCUGCUUUAAAUUUUAAUUGGAUGCUUGCCAGUAAUUUUUACUAUAGUAAAUCAAACCAAGGAAUGAUAAUCCUACCAUGUAUGUGAAGAUUAUUGGGGUAUGUUUGAAAUAGAUAAAACUUGUGGCAUUGAGAACAAAUUUAAACUAUGAGAGCAUGGAAUCUCUUAUGACAUUCUAACAAAUUAUCGCUGCAAACAAUUUCAAGUGGAUUGCCAUUUGAAUUUCACAUAUGAUUAGAAUUUGUAAUUUGGAAGGUACUAGGUCAUUGCCAUUUGAAUUCUCUUGGAGGUCCAUUUUAUCAUUUUGAAAGGUAUUUUCAUACUUUCAUAACAUAAUUUUACAUGAAUUCCAUAAAUAAGUCUUAUUCGUUCUAAACAUAGGCUUAGUGAAUUUUAUGCCCGCUGAUAUUUCUUGUGAAAUUUAUAUCGCGAUAUUUUUUAUGUUUGUCUAUCUUUUUUUAAGCUGGUAAAUGAGGUUUUUUGUUGGAAAAUAUGUCAUUGAGUUUGAUUCAAAUUCCAAUUAUAGAAUGGUAAUAGCAAUACAAUGAAAAUGGGAUGGAAAAUUGAAUUAAAAACAACAUUCUCAUUCCAAGUGAAUUUUAGGUCCAAUUCAAGUUGGUUGAUUUUUUAAUUUCUUCCUCGAUAUGCGUGGAUACAAAGUCAUUGUUAUAUAAUUGAGGAAAUGGGUGAGCUUGAUCCAAUUAUGUAUUAUGUAAACUUUGCCUAAUUUCUAUGUAUCAAAUAAAUAAGAUUUAGGAAUAAAAUAGGAUUAGAAUAGGUCUGAACAAAAUACAAUGAAAGUUUUUUUUUUGUGUACUUGGUUAGAUAGCACUUCUAGUUCUCAGUUCGUUAGAAGAUAGAUGAAAAUGAAUUUUAUUCAUAUGAAGUUUAUUUCAAAAAAAUAAGUUUUUGUAUCAUGAGCGAUAUGACAUGAGUUACAUGACUACCUUUCAAAUUGAUGCACCCAUCUUACUGAAGAUUGUUUUAGGUUAUAUAGGUCCGUAACAAUUGAUCAAUUUUUAUAAAAGUAAUUUCCAAAUACCACUGUGGACAUAGGUCCAUAACAAUUGAUCAAUUUUUAUAAAAGUAACUUCCAAAUACUACUGUAGACAUUUGUUUUUUUCCUUCUUAAUAAUAAGAAAAGACUAUGAGGGUGAUUGAAAUUUCUUGUUUUAAGCUUAUAGGUAACUUUAAACACUUAGUUAAAUUUUUUUUUUCUGUAAAGGGUGCUUAAAAACUUUACAUCUCAUUUCAAAUUUUUAAAGUUUAAUUUUUUAAUCUAACAAAUCUUUCUAAUUAUCAUUUUUAUCUACUUAAAAUUAACAAAAUACAUAUUAAAAUAAAUUACAAAAUAUUUAUAGAAAAUAUAUGUUUAUUAUUAGUUCUUUCUAAAAAGAUAAAUGUUUAUUUUUUUCUAAUCACCAUUUUGUUAAAAUCAUGGUGGCUUAUUUUUUAAAUGAGUGUCAACUUUAAGUAAUUUUAAGUAAUUUAAAGUACGAGGGGUGCUCUAAGUGCAUUUCUUGAAGCAAUCCUAACUUGUGCCGAGCAGGAUUCCUACUUGGUUUGCAUGGACAAAGUUCGGACUUUUGCCUUUAUGUCAGAUUGUUUUGAAGCUUUCAAAAAAUUGAUACAUAUGGAUCAGGCAAGAUUCUUUUAGUUGGUGGGUUUUUAGUUUUAGUUUUUUCACCUGUAUCGGAAUGGUCAUAAUGGCUCUACUCCUAGCUAUCGGGUUGGUAUCUUACUUGGACAUACUGCCAUGGGGGAUCAUGAAUACAUGCUUAGCCUGCUCACACAGAAUUGCAUCCAGUUAUCUAUUUUCAGUCAUAUUCCACACAAUACAAACCGAAAAGAUAGAGAAGUAUUAGUAACUCAGGUCUAGGAAGCAUAAUCGCUUUCUUUAAAUCCAUGGAAGUUGCAUGAUCUCAAGCAUCUUUUAUAAACUAGUAGAAAACUUAGCAGUUCGAAAGGGAGUUAGCUAUCUGUCACUGAAAUUACUAUGGGGUUUAUCUUGGGUCAAUAUGAGGGCAGACAUAAGAAAAUGACAGUGUACAAGACUGGGGCGAGUUAUUUACCAUUUCUAGAGGGAGGUUUGUUGUUGCGCUUCUAUUGUGUCAUUGAAAUGUGUAAAUUCAUCCACAUCUGCUCUCUAAUUUCCAUCAUUCAGAAUGUUGCUAUCACCCUCAGUGACACAAAUAAAAGCUAUGUAUGCAAACUAUUCGUUUUUCAGUAUAAUGGGGAUCAUCUUGUGAAUACUUACAAUAAGGUGGUUGAUUGUAUGCUGGCCUGAAUAUGUUCAACGUCUGUGCUUCUAGUGAUUAGAGUAGUCAUCAAGGGAAUGUAUGUUUAUCUUUGAGUCUCUCUUCAUCUAAUUUAUUGUAUUUUGGGGCUUAGAAGUGGAAGAACACCUUUUACAUAUAUUGUGGUGGCCCUAAUCUUUCUCAAAUACCAUAUUAUAUGCAGAAAAUGUACACCAUCAUUCUUUUUAUUUCAUUCUACAUGCCUCCAGUGACAUUUGUUGGUGAUUGCAGAUAGUAUGUGGUCAUUUGCUGAGAAGAAUCUUCUUGGGACCUAAGAGUUUUUUAGCAGCCCUGUGAGGUUUUAAGUAUUCUUUUUUUUUUUUUUUGGUUUCUUUUUCAUAUAAUUUAUCUUUCAGACUAAUGUAUAAUUUGAGUAGAAAGAUUUUGUAAGGAGUUCCUCUUGAUAGUAAGGAGACAUUAUUAGUCACUCUGUUGUGGAUGGUUUGUGGGUCUGGAAACUGGAAUGAGAAACCAUUCUUCUCCCUCUUUCUUCACGGUUUAAAAACAACCUGAUUGUGGUUUCUGGGUUUGUUUUGUUCUCAUUCUUUUUGAUAUAUUUAUAAUUGUUAUGUGCCUGGUUAUUUUAGUAACUUUAAAAGAUUUAACAAAAGGGGUUUUGACUAUUGUGUGUUCUCGAAAUAGGGUAUAUUUUAAAGUUCGUAUGUCAUACGUUAAAACUAAAUAUAUAUAUAUAUAUCAACCUUUUCAAUAAUUUGUUUAAUAAAUUAAAAAAUAAAAUAAAAGGAUCCAACGGUCGAAUACAUUGGAAACUUCUCCAUGGUCCUUGUAAGUAGUGCAAAAUUCGAAAAGCAUAAAUUUUUACUUCCCCCAUAGCAUGUGACCCUCUCUGUCACUUGUCCAUAUCAAAUCAAUGCCAUGUAUAUUUUUAAAAAGAAAAAUUGUUAGUAAAUAUAUAUAUAUAGAUAUAUAUAUUGAAAAUUAAAAUGGGUCGGAUAGUUUUUCCUGUUAUUAAAAAAAUAUAACUAUUAUGUUAAUACAUUUAAAUUAAAGUUAACUUAUUAAUAAUUGGUUCUUGUAUAUGGACAAAAAGAAAAUGUCCCUCCAUUUCUUUUUAACUUUGAAACCCUGUUUGGAUGCAUGAAUAAAUGAAUAAUCCAAGAAGCUACCCCACCACCAUUUACAUAUAAACAUUUUCAUGAAUAAAAACCGCAGAGAAUCACGGCCUUACACCCCCCUAUAUAUCCCCUUUCUUUUCUUUCCUCACUUCACUACUCUCCCUCUUCUACCUUACUUACACCAGCAACACCAUGGCUCAUUAUAAACUCUUUCUCCUCACACUGCUCUUCACGGCCACCUGCUUCAAUGCAGAGCUCAGCCACGACGCCGAAGCUUUCUCACCUCAUUACUCUCCGGCAACCUCUCCGGCGCCCCACCAUCACCACCACCCACCAGCUCUUGCACCUGUUCAACCCCCGACUCAUCACCACCACCACCAUCCUCACCCACCCACUAAACCACCGACCCACUCGCCAGCUAACCCCCCUGUUCAUCCCCCAGUAAAGCCUCCGGCACCCUCACCGGUGAAACCUCCGGUUCAUCCACCAGUAAAGCCUCCUGUGAAGCCUCCGGUGAAGCCGCCGAGCUAUCCUUUCCCAAGGCGGUUUGUAGCAGUGCAGGGUGUUGUUUACUGCAAGUCUUGCAAGUACGCCGGAGUUGAUACCCUCUUGGGAGCUUCACCGGUUUUGGGUUUGUCCUCCUAACCAUGUCUCUCUACUCUUACAUUUUUCUUUCUUUGCUUUUUAGUUUAAGCAAGGCGUUGGAAAUGGCUUCUUGAAUCAUGCAUGCAUGUCCAUGAAUUGUUGCAUUGUAUAUAUAUAUAUGUAUAUGAAUAUAUAAUCUGCAUGAUAUGUUUAGUCAAUGGCGUAAUGUAUACGUGGUUUUAUUAGCAAGAUAAUACAUUCUUACUCGUUAUAAAUUGUGUUUACAUAUAUGGUUUUAUUAGCUUUAAAACCUUUAUUCCAUUUCUAGGCAAAAGAACUGACAAUGUUUACCAGUAUGGCAGCACUGAAUUACUGUACCACCAACCGUAACAUUAAAGCUGCCGCUCACUGUUAUCUCCACUCCGUGACAAAAUUCCUUUUUCUUUUUUUUUUACUCUUCUUCUUUUUAACCAUUUUCACAAGUUACAUGCACUCUAUUUUACUUUAUUACUUUUUACUUUCAAUUAAUUAAUUCAUUUAAUGUAUUUUAAUUUCUUAGAUGGCCCAGUAAUACUUUUUUAUGUAAUUAAUAUACAUAUAUAUUGUGAAAACCUUCUAGAAUUUACCGCACAGUAAAAAGCUGAA
rnacentral:lncRNA from 1 species